AAGAAUUCCAAUUAAAACAUUGCAGUCAUUUUAGCAGCUCGUGCUAAACUAACGUGGCAUCUAGGAAAUUAAUUCCAAGAAACAUUACAUAGGUUGAAAAGUUGAUGAACUCUUUAGUCUAUAAGAGCAGAUUAUGUUAAUCUGGUUUAGUGGCUAAAAGAAUCUGUGCAGAUUUAGAUUAAUACUGAUAAUAACUUUUCACUGCUAAUGCUAUUUUGAAUGGUGAGCAGCAGGGAAAGGUCAAAGGUACCUGAUCCACUUGAACCCUGAACUCUUAUGUGUAUGUGUGUAUAUAUAUAUUCUACUCAGGGCUACGGACGAAAUCUGUGGUUGGCACAGAGUCCCAAGUAGACCAAGGGUGAGAUGGUGGUGGAAUAAAGAGAUUGGCAGUGCUAUAAAAGCCAAAAGACAGGCUUGGAAAGACUGGAAAAAUGGUGGAAGCAGAGAAUUCUAUAAGGUAGCCAAAAGGGGCAGCUAGGUAUUAAAUAUACAUAGCAAAAGGAGCAGCUGAAGUCCAAAGAAGAAGAGGAAGAGCAGGAGUAGGAGGCAGAAGAGUGUCAGUGUUUACAUCCUAUUUGCAAGACUUUUCAAACUGUCAAGGUUAAGGUCAUUGUAGUCAAAAGUUCAGCUGAGGGUGAAUCUGAGAGUGAUGUCUGCAAGGAAAAGAUGGCCAGGAACCGAGUUCCAGAGAAUUGCAAUUUUGGAGAUGAAAGAAUUGGUCAAAAAAAAAUUUAAAACAAAAAAAUGAUUUAUUGUGUGAAGUGUUGAGAGAAAAGGGAAGGGGAAAUGUGUAGAGGUUGGUGCUUAUCUGGAAAUCAAUGUUGAUUUAAUAAACCUUAUAACCAAUGGAAUUUCA